GCCGGGCGUGGUGGUUCACACCUGUAAUCCCAGCAGCUUGGGAGGCUGAGGCAAGAGGGUUGUGAGUUCAGAGCCAGCCUCAGCAAUAAUGGAGGCACUAAGCAGCUCAGUGAGACCCUGUCUCUA
rnacentral:sRNA from 1 species